UACGUAGGGUGCGAGCGUUGUCCGGAAUUACUGGGCGUAAAGGGCGCGUAGGCGGUUCGAUAAGUAGGGGGUGAAAUUCCGUGGCUCAACCACGGAACUGCCUUCUAGACUGUCGGACUUGAGCACGGUAGAGGCAGAUGGAAUUCCCGGUGUAGCGGUGGAAUGCGUAGAGAUCGGGAAGAACACCAGUGGCGAAGGCGGUCUGCUGGGCCGUUGCUGACGCUGAUGCGCGACAGCGUGGGGAGCAAACAGG
rnacentral:rRNA from 1 species